UACGGAGGGUGCAAGCAUUGAUCGGAAUUACUGGGCGUAAAGGGCGCGUAGGCGGUUUUUUAAGUCGGAUGUGAAAUUCCGGGGCUCAACCCCGGAGCUGCAUUUGAAACUAGAGAGCUAGAGUUCAGUUAGGGUAAACGGAAUUCCACGUGUAGCGGUGAAAUGCGUAGAUAUGUGGAAGAACACCGGUGGUGAAGACGGUUUACUGGGCUGAUACUGACGCUGAGGCGCGAAAGCAUGGGGAGCAAACAGG
rnacentral:rRNA from 1 species